CUGGACAAAAAUGAUGGUACCUCUAUAAAAGAUUGAAAACUAUUUGACCAGAGUGACAUGAUUAACUCAGGUGUGUCAUUUAAUUGACAUCACAGGUGUUUCCAAACUCAUAAUCAGUCAGUCUGCCUAUUUAAAGGGAGACAAGUAGUCACCCUGCUGUUUGGUGAAAAGGUGUGUACCACACUGAACAUGGACAACAGAAAGCGAAGGAGAGAAUUGUCCCAGGACAUCCGAAAAAAAAUGAUAGACAAACAUCUUAAAGGUAAAGGCUAUAAGACCAUCUCUAAACAGCUUGAAGUUCCUGUGACAACAGUGGCUCAUAUUAUUCAGAAGUUCAAGACCCACGGGACAGUAGCCAACCUCCCUGGACGUGGCCGCAAGAGGAAAAUUGAUGACAAAUUGAAGAGACGGAUCGUUUGAAUUGUAUCCAAAGAGCCCAGAGCAACCUCCAAAGAAAUUAAAGGUGAACUCCAAGGCCAAGGUACAUCAGUGUCAGAUCGCACCAUUCGUCGUUGUUUGAGCCAAAGUGGACUUCAUGGGAGAUGACCAAGGAGGACACCACUGCUGAAAAAAACUCAUAAAAAAGCCAGACUGGAAUUUGCAAAAAUGCAUGUUGACAAGCCACAAAGCUUCUGGGAGAAUGUCCUUUGGACAGAUGAGACCAAACUGGAGCUUUUUGGUAAGGCACAUCAACUCUAUGUUCAUAGACUCAAAAACCAAGCAUACAAAGAAAAGAACACUGUCCCUACGGUGAAACAUGGAGGAGGCUCAGUAAUGUUUUGGGGCUGCUUUGCUGCAUCUGGCACAGGGUGUCUUGAAAGUGUGCAAGGUACGAUGAAAUCUGAAGACUAUCAAGGCAUUCUGGAGAGAAAUGUGCUGCCUAGUGUCAGAAAGCUUGGUCUCAGUCGCAGGUCAUGGGUCUUCCAACAGGACAACGAUCCAAAACACACAGCCAAAAACACCCAAGAAUGGCUGAGAGAAAAGCGUUGGACUAUUCUAAAGUGGCCUUCUAUGAGCCCAGAUCUGAAUCCCAUUGAACAUAUGUGGAAGGAGCUGAAACAUGCCAUUUGGAGAAGACACCCAUCAAACCUGAGACAACUGGAGCUGUUUGCUCAUGAGGAGUGGGCCAAAAUACCUGUUGACAGCUGCAGAACGCUCAUUGACAAAUACAGAAAUCGUUUAAUUGCAGUGAUUGCCUCAAAAGGUUGUGCAACAAAAUAUUAAGUUAUGGGUACCAUCAUUUUUGUCCAGCCCUAUUUCAUUAGUUUGUUUUUUUAAAUAAUUAUGUUAAUCAACAAUUCAAAAGUAAUGGCUGUUUUUGAUUAUUUAAUUUUCAAUAAAUUUUUAUUUAUUGUUACUUUUGUGAGUUUCAAGUGAUUUCAGUGAGAAUUGUGGGUUUUUCCUUCUUUAACUGAGGGGUACCAACAAUUUUGUCCACGUGUGUACAAGUGUUUAGAGAGAGGAGAUCUGUUAGUAAAGGUGUUUAGAGAGGAGAUCUGUUAGUAAAGGUGUUUAGAGAGGAGAUCUGUUAGUAAAGGUGUUUAGAGAGAGGAGAUCUGUUAGUAAAGGUGUUUAGAGAGGAGAUCUGUUAGUAAAGGUGUUUAGAGAGGAGAUCUGUUAGUAAAGGUGUUUAGAGAGGAGAUCUGUUAGUAAAGGUGUUUAGAGAGAGGAGAUCUGUUAGUAAAGGUGUUUAGAGAGGAGAUCUGUUAGUAAAGGUGUUUAGAGAGGAGAUCUGUUAGUAAAGGUGUUUAGAGAGGAGAUCUGUUAGUAAAGGUGUUUAGAGAGGAGAUCUGUUAGUAAAGGUGUUUAGAGAGAGGAGAUCUGUUAGUAAAGGUGUUUAGAGAGGAGAUCUGUUAGUAAAGGUGUUUAGAGAGGAGAUCUGUUAGUAAAGGUGUUUAGAGAGAGGAGAUCUGUUAGUAAAGGUGUUUAGAGAGGAGAUCUGUUAGUAAAGGUGUUUAGAGAGGAGAUCUGUUAGUAAAGGUGUUUAGAGAGGAGAUCUGUUAGUAAAGGUGUUUAGAGAGGAGAUCUGUUAGUAAAGGUGUUUAGAGAGGAGAUCUGUUAGUAAAGGUGUUUAGAGAGGAGAUCUGUUAGUAAAGGUGUUUAGAGAGGAGAUCUGUUAGUAAAGGUGUUUAGAGAGGAGAUCUGUUAGUAAAGGUGUUUAGAGAGGAGAUCUGUUAGUAAAGGUGUUUAGAGAGGAGAUCUGUUAGUAAAGGUGUUUAGAGAGGAGAUCUGUUAGUAAAGGUGUUUAGAGAGGAGAUCUGUUAGUAAAGGUGUUUAGAGAGGAGAUCUGUUAGUAAAGGUGUUUAGAGAGGAGAUCUGUUAGUAAAGGU